GUGCUUGCUUCAGCAGCACAUAUAUUAAAAUUGGAACAAUAUAGAGAAGAUUAACAGAGACCCUGCUCAAGGAUGACAUACACAUUUAUGAAGCAUUUUAUAUUUUA
ensembl:snRNA U6 U6 spliceosomal RNA